CCGAGGAAACACACGGUCAGUAUGGGCAUCACUACUCAGAAACGACAAAGAAAAGAUCUAAAUGAACAGCAAGUUACUGUUCUUGAAACAGCUUUCUCUGAAGGUUUAAUUUCAGCUGGAAGAAAGUUUCAGAAUGGGUUUAAAGAAUUAAGUCUUCAGACAGGACUGUCUGAAGACAGAAUCAAAGCAAGUAUAUUGUUGGGUUCAGGUAAUGUUUAUGGGUAUUUGUUAAUCAUAAUUUGUUACAGAUACCUUUUUAUUCAAGCACAUCCAUUAUUUUGUGUCAAAUUGUACAUUUUCAAAAGUUCUGAAAACAUCUGUCCAAACUAUUGUUUUACAUUACAAA